rnacentral:lncRNA from 1 species
ACAGUCUUAUCAUUUGUUUUAAAUUGGAGUAAUAUGCCUUCCUGCAGUCAUUCAUUUGGUUAGUCAGUAAAUAUUUGCUGAGUCUCUGUAACAUAUCAGGUGUUGGACUAACUGCAGUGGUGAGCAACACACCUGCUCCCUGCACUCCAGUGCUUCCUGUCUGGCGGGAGUUAAACCUUAACCAUGUGGUCUGGCCUUGGACUCAGUAGGGCACUUGGAGAUUUUCAACUUGAAGUAGCUAGAGAAAGUUCCCCAAGGAAGUGACAUGAGUUGAAAUCUGAAAGGCUACAAGCGGCCUACCUAGUUGAUGGGGAGGUAGUCCAGGUAAGGGGACAACACACGUAGAGAUGUUUUGACAUGGGAAAGAACAACUGAGGAACUGGAUGAAGGCAAUGUGACUACACCGGGUUUUGUGAGGUGUUCUUUUAAUCAGGUUGACUUUCGUCACAAGGGUUGCCCCAUUAAACUUUAUUGCCUUAGAGAAGUUAUUCAACCUCAUUUUAACCUAAGUCUUGGAGGCCAGCAAAGCUGCCUGGGAGGCUUCUCUGGCUGUCAAGGGCCCUGUGCUCAGAAAGGCCAGGGAUUUCAGUACAGCUUCUGGACAGUGCCACAUGCUCCGCCCAAGUUGCCUUGCUCUUUGUACAGUCCUCCCCCUACCCCAGACCUGCUGCAUAAUCUUGGUGCAAGAGUGAGGGCGCCCCAAUCUCAUGGAAAUGGGCUUUUAAAUGGGGAAUACUGAAGCAGGAACAUGAGCUCCUUCCCAACUUAGGGAAAGCCUCUCUCUGGGCACCGGUUGCCUGGUUGGGAAGAUGAGAGCACCUGCCUCUCAAGAGCCCCCUUCCGCCCUUGCUGGGGAUGGAACACAUGCCUGCUAAGCAUGCCCUCUACCACUGAGCUACACCCCUUGCCCAAGAUCUCCUUUUAAUUCUGCUAUUCCAGAAUCAGAUGAAAUGUCUAUGCUUACAGUCAGGUCCUAGGGUAAAUUGGUUCACCUAGUAUAUCCCUAACAGUUGAGUUACCCCAUGCUUUUGGUAGCACCACAAUGCUGGCCAACAGGAAAUUUAUACAUUGGGUGCUAUCAAUGUGAUAUCACAGGGACCAGCAAUGAAAGAGCAAAGUGCCCUCCAUUUCCGAAGCUGGGGUCACUUUGGCCCCCUGCCCAUCAGUUCUUCCUUUCUCAGUGAGGAAACAGACAACAAAAAAAGGGGAACAUUAACUUCCUCCAGGUGUCUCUGAGCACCCCAGAGCAUUCUCCAGUGGAUCCAGGAACGCUUUCCCUUCAAGACUCCACCAUUGUGUCAGCUCUUUCUCCUUAAGCCAGUACAUAGAAUUAAAAGGGACACUUUCUAGAACCUGC